rnacentral:rRNA from 1 species
AAUUCUUUCGGGAAUGGAAAUGAAAUGAAAGUGGCGAACGGGUGAGUAACACGUGAGCAACCUACCUUACACAGGGGGAUAGCCGUUGGAAACGACGAUUAAUACCGCAUGAGACCACAGAAUCGCAUGAUAUAGGGGUCAAAGAUUUAUCGGUGUAAGAAGGGCUCGCGUCUGAUUAGCUAGUUGGAAGGGUAAAGGCCUACCAAGGCGACGAUCAGUAGCCGGUCUGAGAGGAUGAACGGCCACAUUGGAACUGAGACACGGUCCAAACUCCUACGGGAGGCAGCAGUGGGGAAUAUUGCACAAUGGGGGGAACCCUGAUGCAGCGACGCCGCGUGAGCGAAGAAGGUUUUCGAAUCGUAAAGCUCUGUCCUAUGAGAAGAUAAUGACGGUAUCAUAGGAGGAAGCCCCGGCUAAAUACGUGCCAGCAGCCGCGGUAAUACGUAUGGGGCGAGCGUUGUCCGGAAUUAUUGGGCGUAAAGGGUACGUACGCGGUUUUUUAAGUCAGGUGUGAAAGCGUGAGGCUUAACCUCAUUAAGCACUUGAAACUGGAAGACUUGAGUGAAGGAGAGGAAAGUGGAAUUCCUAGUGUAGCGGUGAAUGCGUAGAUAUUAGGAGGA